rnacentral:misc_RNA from 1 species
GAACUGCGAUAAGUAAUGUGAAUUGCAGAAUUCAGUGAAUCAUCGACUCUUUGAACGCACAUUGCGCCCCCUGGCAUUCCGGGGGGCAUGCCUGUCCGAGCGUCAUUGCUGCCCUUCAAGCCCGGCUUGUGUGUUGGGUCGUCGUCCCCUCCGGGGGACGGGCCCGAAAGGCAGCGGCGGCACCGCGUCCGGUCCUCGAGCGUAUGGGGCUUUGUCACCCGCUCGAUAAGGACCGGCCGGGCGCCAGCCGGCGUCUCCAACCUUUUUUCUCAGGUUGACCUCGGAUCAGGUAGGGAUACCCGCUGAACUUAAGC